GACAGAGGGUGCAAACGUUGUUCGGAAUUACUGGGCGUAAAGCGCGUGUAGGCGGCCCUGCAAGUCGGAUGUGAAAUCCCACGGCUCAACCGUGGAAGUGCAUUCGAAACUGCAGGGCUAGAGUCCUGGAGAGGAAGGUGGAAUGCUUGGUGUAGAGGUGAAAUUCGUAGAUAUCAAGCGGAACACCGGUGGCGAAGGCGGCCUCU
rnacentral:rRNA from 1 species